rnacentral:rRNA from 1 species
AACGAACGUUAGCGGCGCGCCUAACACAUGCAAGUCGAGCGAGAAAGGGCUUCGGCCCCGGUAAAGCGGCGCACGGGUGAGUAACACGUGGGUAACCUGCCCUCGAGUUGGGGAUAACAU